GGGGGCGAUCCGGCUUCGACGGGAGCGGACAGCGUCCGGUGAGACGAGCCGAGUUCGCCGGAGACUCGUAAAACGCCGGCACCUAAACAUACACGCCAACGACAGAGAGAUGGCGCUGGCUGCCUAAAACCACUGGCAGCCCGUCGGUCCGGGCGGCCCACGGCCCGGUUUCCGGCGUCGGUUAGUGGGCUUACCUCCCGGGCUCCGGCCCGGGGUCCGGGGGGGACACCACAGCAGGGCUAGCCCCUCUGCGGCGCCCCGGUCCGCAGAGGCCGGUGAAGCUAAACCGGGUGCGACGCUCGUACAAUCUCCCGGAUGGCGCGCUCGCGGACGCGGGUUCGAUUCCCGCCGCCUCCACUG
rnacentral:tmRNA from 24 species